rnacentral:rRNA from 1 species
CAGUCGCCGCGGUAAUACGAAGGGGGCUAGCGUUGCUCGGAAUCACUGGGCGUAAAGGGUGCGUAGGCGGGUCUUUAAGUCAGGGGUGAAAUCCUGGAGCUCAACUCCAGAACUGCCUUUGAUACUGAAGAUCUUGAGUAUGGGAGAGGUGAGUGGAACUGCGAGUGUAGAGGUGAAAUUCGUAGAUAUUCGCAAGAACACCAGUGGCGAAGGCGGCUCACUGGCCCAUAACUGACGCUGAGGCACGAAAGCGUGGGGAGCAAACAGGAUUAGAUACCCCCGUAGUCCCUGUCUCUUAUAC